rnacentral:lncRNA from 1 species
GAAAUUAAAAAGAUGGUAUUAGAUAGGGGGUCUCAUUUGGGGGUUCUGAUCCUGGAUUCGGCUUACUGUUUUGUCAGAUUCCUGUAUCAUGCUUACACUAUGUACGUAAGCAAUUCUCAUUUUUUUUUGUAACUUCCUGUGUCCCGCUAGACUUCAUUUUCAGUUUUCACGGCACAAUAAUUUUGUAUUUCACGUGUCACACUUACAAGAAAUGGGCAAUCCCGCGUCACGCUUAGACCCCAAUGAGACCCACUAGAUAGAACUUGAACUUGCAUUAUGCGUGUCACUGGUCAUCUACAUGCCAUUGGUCAGAAUUUGUUUUUAAUUCUCUUUUAAAAUGGUAGAUAUGCAAUCAUUCCAGUUUCUUAGGAUUUUUUAUUUUGUCACAUGAACCAAAAACAUAUAAGUUUUGUAGUAUUUUUCUUCUUCUUAUAUUUAUCAAAUUUCUAUGUUGGGCAUCAUCAUCAAAUAUUGUAAAAUAUUAAUAAACGGAUUGUAAAUUGUUCAUAGCAUGCUUCAUAUUGAACAUCAUUCUCAUUGGAACACUGUUUUUUGUUUAGUUGAAAGUAAAUGCAGUGCAUGUUAACAUGUUAGAAAUUUUUAGAUAUCAAAUAUAUAUAUUGUUUUGUUAAGCUCAUCCAGAACCAGUAAAAGUGUGCAAUUUGAGUCAGCUAAACAAAAAAUUGCACUGUUUUUUUUAUUUUCAUUUCCUAAUCUUGGGAUGAGGUAAGGGUCAGCAAUACAUUUUUUGUAAUUUUUUGUUUGGUUUCAGAGUGUCUUUAUUUUAUUGCAGAUUUUCUUAUUAAUGUAUCUCAAAUUCUUUGUAACAUUUAAUGACAUGCAUGAACUCAAUUUCGUACAAGGAUCAUUGUAUAUCUUGGGACUUAUAAUUUUGUUAAAAAAAAAGUUUUAUUUUUUGUGAAAAUGCAAGCAUUUGGAUACUUUACCAGAAGUGUGUGUUAUAUUGAAGUGUUGAUGAAAGAUUCAAAAGUUUGGGAAAAUUAUGUUUGAAGAUUAGAAGACACAGGUUAUCCAGUUUAACACAUGGCUGUUUUGUUUUAUAAAGUUUCAGUCCUACAUAUAUAUAUGACAUUAUUGCUUAACCAUAAUUUUCUUUGUUGGUGCAAUGCUUAAACUCCAGAUACAGCCAAUUGCUAUUAACUUGAAAAUUUCAAAUUUAAAACUGAUAGGAAUUUCUUCCAACAAAACUGAUUUUUCCAGCUAUCCUUUACUGCAUAUAAUCCAAGUCUUUGACCCUAGUUUUAACAUAAGAUUAUUUUUUUUGGAACACGAUCUGUUGAUGUAGACAUGGUUUGCAGUCAUUGUAUUUAUAACCAAUUUCUUUAACAUUUCUACUGAAAAACUGUCUUCUGAUAUGCAUGUGUUCAGAUUUCUUUUAUAUACAUUAUUGUUAAAUAUUUACAAAAAAAUAAAGUUUUAUUACA